UUGAAUGUCUAUGUAUGUGGUAUUCAGGAAGGAGAUACAAAGACAGUGAAUAUUACUUCUGUUUUUUUAGGAGCCAGGAAAUAAAAUAAUUUCCAUUCAGUGAGUAACUCAAAGUGAUUGCAAUGUGCAAAAUACCUUGAGCAUACAAAGAAAAAACAAUUGGCUGUCCAGAAGAAAGGAACUAAAGAGACUAAUAUGUGCUUUUCCAUAUGUUAUUUCAUGUAAGUGUUAAAAACAGUCCUAUUGGGAUUCCUUGUUUACAGGUGAGGUAAGGUAUUUUGUAAGAUUCAGUAGCAGAGCAGUGAUCCACGUUAGGAGUCAGAAAAGCCAACCCAGAGAAUGUGACAGUAGAACUGACUCUUAGAGGUCAUUAUUUGAAGAUAUGAGGUGAUAUGUAUAUUGUGAAAGAAUCUACAGAUACAUUAAUAGGCUUAAAAAAUUUAGCAAGAUCAAUGAAUACAAAGUCAGUUUAGAAGCCAGAUAUAAUGGAGCUAGUUUUAAAUUUAAUAAAAGGUGUGCAAAGUGCUCUUUGUAGAAAGUUUUAAACCUUUACUGAAAGACAUUAAGAUAGACCCAAAUCAAUGGACAUCUGUUUGCUCCUGAAAGUGUGUUCUACAGACUGGCAUCGUUGACAUCAAUAUUCCUGUUGUCGGGUAGGAGGAAUCAGUAUCAUUAAAUAUGACAGCUCCUCCCAAAUCUAUAGCAUCAAUGCAAAUCAGAAUAAUAUCCCAAGAAGUUUGUUACUGAAUAUGACUAUCUGGUUCUAAAUUUUAUAUGGAAGCUCAAAAACAAAUGAUAACCAAGAGGGAGGUGGAGUGAGACUUGCCUUACCAGAUACUAAGCCGUAUUGUAAGUAAGAUAAUACAGACUUGAUGCAGGAAUAGACCAUAGAACAAUAUACAGAGACUAGAAACCACAUAUGAAAACUAGAUUUAUGAUAGAAUGGGAAUCUCAUACAUAAAUAUCAAUUCUAGGUGGAUUAAAUGUGGACUUAAUGUAAGAGGCAAAGCCAGACUCUUAAGAAUAAAUUAUAGGAAAUAAUUGUAUGACCUUGGAUUGGAGAAGGAGUUCUUAAGACAUAAAAGGACAAAUUAUAAAGGGAAAGAUUGAUAAAUUUGAAUAAAAUUAAGAACUCCUGAUUAUUAAAAGAGUGAAACGAAAAGUCCCAGACUAGGAGAAGAUAUUGAAACACAGAUAAUUGACAAAAGGACUUUUAUCAAGAAUAGAUAAUAAACCAUACAUAUAUGAGAACAAUAGAAACCCAAUAGAAAAAUGGUCAACUCGGGCCGCCGCCGCUGCCGCUGAAUCAUUUGAGCUGCAGCGGGCGGUUUCGGCUCUUGGCCAGGAGCCACUUGUGCGGCUGCCCAGAGAACCAGAGGUCCUCGAUCCCGUGUCGUCUUCCUCUUCGCCCCCAGGAGGAGCGAGAGGGAGCCGCGGUUGAUGUGAGAAAUAGACUUCCGGGAAAUGGCCUCUAAAUCCUGGCUGAAUUUUUUAGCCUUCCUCUGUGGAUCGGCAAUAGGAUUUUUUGUUGUUUUUUUUUUUUUAACGUUCUCAGCUAUUUAGUAUUUUGGGAGAAUAGGGUGACACCCAGCCUAAUAUUCUUCAUAAUGAUCCUCAUGCGAGGCAUUCAGAUGAUAAUGGCACAAUCAUCUAGAAGGACAAAUGAACUUCAAUGCUGAUUCUAGCCAACAUAAAGAUGAGAACACCGACAUCGCUGAAAACCUCUAUCAGAAAGUUAAAAUUCUUUGCUGGGUUAUGACAAGCCCUUAAAACCUAGAGAAAAAGGCCAAACUUAUCAAAGUUACAUGGGCCCAGCAUUGUCACAAAGUGUUAUGAGUUCAAAAGAAAAUAAAGACUUCCCUACUGUGGGAUUGAAAACCAAAGAAGGCAGAGAUCAGCUAUACUGGAAAACAAAGCUUUUCAGUAUGUUCAUGAACAUUAUUUAGAAGAUGCUGAUUGGCUUUUGAAAGCAGAUGAUGACACGUAUGUCAUAGUAGACAAUUUGAGAUGGCUUCUUUCAAAAUAUUACCCUGAAGAACCCAUUUACUUUGGGAGAAAACUAAAACCCUAUAUGUAAAGCAGGGCUACAUUGAGUGGAGGAGCAGAAUAUGUGCUAAGCAAAGAAGCCUUGAAGAGAUUUGUUGAUGCAUUUGAAACAGACAAGUGUACAUUUAGUUCCUCCAUUGAAGACAGCACUGGGGAGAUGCAUGGAAAUUAUAAAUGUGGAAGCAGGAGAUUCCAGAGAUACCACUGGAAAAGAAACUUUUCAUCCCUUUAUGCCAGAACAUUUAAUUAAAGGUUAUCUACCCAGAACCUUUUGGCACUGGAAUUACAACUGUUAUCCUCCUGUAGAGGGUCCUGGUUCUUGUUCUGAUCUUGCAGUUUCUUUUCACUACGUUGAUUCUACAACUAUGCGUGAGUUAGGAUACCUCAUUUAUCAUCGUCGUCUAUAUGAUUAUUUGUACAGAUAUCAACCUGCCUUACCUGAAAAUACACUAAAGGAAAUUAGUCAAGCAAACAAAAACGAAGGUACAAAAGUGAGGUUAGGAAACCCUUGAAUGAAAGUAAAUGAUGAACAAAGGGAAAAUGUCUAGCAUUGCACUGAAGAAGGACUUUUGCAUUUCUAACCUAGAACACUGGAAUCCCAAUGAGGAAUUCUAAGUGAACAUUCCAUGUAGGAAUCUUUCACAUGAAUGAUUAUAAACUUUAAAUGAGCUUUAAAUGAGCUGUGAAGUCUGUUAAAAUGCGUUUUCGUACAGUAAUAUAUAAAUAUAUCUGUAUAUAUGAAGAACUUGUGUUUUUAAAAUGGUGACCAGGUAGAGGAACUAGAAAAGAGAUUUUGUUGCCUAUUUUUGACCAUCUGUAUUAUUGUCACUGAGAAACUAAAACAAUUAAAUUUGCUAAAACUACAGUGCACCAUGUUAGUAAUAAACAGAUCUGCCCCAAAGAAAAUUAAAAAAAAGGGCAACAGACAUGAACUGACAUUUCACAGAAGAAAGUUUAUAAAUAUAUGAAAUAAAAUUUAAUUUUAUUCUGGAAAGUGCAUAUUAAGAUCACAGGUGCCAUUUUUUACCUACAAUAUUGGCAAAAAAGUUCAAAAUGUAAUUUGAGUAUUGGCUAGUAUACGGUGCAAGUGAAA
rnacentral:lncRNA from 1 species